rnacentral:rRNA from 1 species
UACGAAGGGGCGAGCGUUGUUCGGAUUUACUGGGCGUAAAGGGCGCGCAGGCGGCUCAUUUUGUCAGGCGUGAAAGCCCCGGGCUUAACCUGGGAACUGCGUUUGAUACGGAUGGGCUAGAGUUCGGGAGAGGAGAGUGGAAUUCCCAGUGUAGAGGUGAAAUUCGUAGAUAUUGGGAAGAACACCGGUGGCGAAGGCGGCUCUCUGGACCGAGACUGACGCUGAGGCGGCGAAAAGCGUGGGGAAGCAAACAGG